GCCGGGCGUUGUGGCGGGCGCCUGUGGUCCCAGCUACUUGUGAGACAGAGGCAGGAGACUCGCUUGAGCCCAGGAGUUGGAGGUUGCUGUGAGCUGUGAUGUCACAGCACUCUAUCCAGGGGGACAGCUUGAGGCUCUGUCUCAAAAAACAAAAUCUUCUGUUUAAUUCUUUCUUUCUUUUUUUUUUUUUUGAGACAGAGCCUCAAGCUGUCCCCCUGGAUAGAGUGCUAUGGCAUCACAGCUCACAGCAACCUCCAACUCCUGGGCUCAAGCGAGUCUCCUA
rnacentral:SRP_RNA from 1 species